rnacentral:misc_RNA from 1 species
ACACACACACACACACACACAUGACAGGGCAAGAAUACCGCUUGGCACAAUAUGCCACCAAUUUCACAAUUCUAGUUCUUAGUUUCCUCAGUUAAUGAACCAUUAGUUUUCUCAGUUAAUGAACCACCAAAUGACAGUAUAAAAUAAGAAGUUAAUAUAAAUGGUAGCUCAACUGCCUAUAUGCGGAAGGCAUUAUAAAUGCCACCUUGAAAACAGAAAAUACUGCAUGUGUUGUUCAAAUUAGCAAGGAGAAGGGUAAAAGUAAUGUGUAAUUAUUGAAUUAUUGACAUGUCUUAAAAGUUAA